ACCGAGCCAAGACAGAUCGGUGAAUUCGCCACUGCAGCUGCUUUUGGUCAAGAGGGGUGGACCGUUCGGGCAUCCCGCGGCAUCACAUGUAAGUGGAAUUGUCUGCCACUUGCAGUUUGUGCGAGUUUCGCGAGCCAGCAAAACCAGCGCAGCACUGCGCGAUAACGGAACUACGGAAACGCGAAAGCGCGGGCGGCGCCAAGUCGAGCGAAAAGGAAACUUUUCGACCACCUGCGUCGUUGUCAAGGGUAAUGUCAAUGAGUUGUUUUUUCUAAAAAUGAAAUAGAAUUGGACAAGUAGCAUUUUAUUUCGCCUUAUAAUGCAAUACAAUUAUGUUUUAUAAGGAGUGGUUGGGUAUUAGUGAUAGAACUUAAAUAAGGAGUGCCUUCGUCAUCGGGCAAGUAGUAGAAUGUCCCGGGGGAAUCUCUUAUCGUUUCCUGCAUUAACCUCAAUUUCUCGAUUACUAAGGCGCUGUUCGCGAUAAAUAUUGACACCUUAGAGAUUCUCGAGCACCAAUCAAUCACUUUAGCUCGACUGAAUAUUUGCCUUUGUGUCUGUUUCGAACGAGGUUCAAC
rnacentral:lncRNA from 1 species